AGACACGGCCCAGACUCNUACGGGAGGCAGCAGUGGGGAAUAUUGCACAAUGGGCGAAAGCCUGAUGCAGCGACGCCGCGUGAGGGAUGACGGCCUUYGGGUUGUAAACCUCUUUCAGCAGGGAAGAAGCGAAAGUGACGGUACCUGCAGAAGAAGCGCCGGCUAAMUACGUGCCAGCAGCCGCGGUAAUACGUAGGGCGCAAGCGUUGUCCGGAAUUAUUGGGCGUAAAGAGCUCGUAGGCGGCUUGUCACGUCGGUUGUGAAAGCCCGGGGCUUAACCCCGGGUCUGCAGUCGAUACGGGCAGGCUAGAGUUCGGUAGGGGAGAUCGGAAUUCCUGGUGUAGCGGUGAAAUGCGCAGAUAUCAGGAGGAANCACCCGGUGGMGAAGGCGGAUCUCUGGGCCGAUA
rnacentral:rRNA from 1 species